rnacentral:rRNA from 1 species
AUACAGAGGGUGCGAGCGUUAAUCGGAAUUACUGGGCGUAAAGCGCGCGUAGGCGGCUUAUUAAGUCAGAUGUGAAAUCCCCGGGCUUAACCUGGGAACUGCAUCUGAUACUGGUAAGCUAGAGUUUUGGAGAGGGAAGUAGAAUUUCAGGUGUAGCGGUGAAAUGCAUAGAGAUCUGAAGGAAUACCAGUGGCGAAGGCGACUUCCUGGCCAAAAACUGACGCUGAGGUGCGAAAGCGUGGGUAGCAAACGGGAUUAGAAACCCGGGUAGUCC